rnacentral:lncRNA from 1 species
UUGGGGGUAAUGCCAGGAAUUUUGAAACAGUUGAGAAGCAGAGCAAUUCUCAGCUAGAACCUGAUGCAUAUCUAGUAAUUCAAACUUUUCCUACAACACCAUUUUGGGGGAAACCUGGGUAAGGGAUAAAGAUGCAGGGGAACAAGUGUUCUAAAUCCCCCUGGAUUUCUGACAGAGCAAACCUUCCAGUGAUCCCAGCUGAUGCCUCUGAAAAACUGUGGGAGCCUAAGGAUUUCCAGGAAAGCAAAACAAGGACAGAGAUGAGGGAAUGGGCUUCCAGUCAGUAAUGAUUUGAUGGACAUGGGAAUGAUUCUUGUAUGUUUAAUGCUCCCUAUUGUAUUCCCUGAAAGAUUUUAAAGUCAUUCCUUUAAUAAAUCAUUUAAAUUUGAGAGGAAACAAUGCAAAAUUAAUGCAUGGAGAGAUUGUGGAAUCAUCAUGGAAUGGUUUGGGCUGGAAGCCUCAUCUCUGAGCCUAUCAUGGUCUGGCUCCUGUCCUUCAGCCACUCCUUGCAGGUGGACGUGGAAAUGAUGGAGAUGUGCAGGGAAUGCUGGUUGGUUUUCCCUGCCUCUGGCAAUCUGGCCAUGACAAAGACUAAUUGACCUCCUCUCCCAGCAGGGAAACAUUUAAACAAGAGGUGCCAAAAAGAACUGGAGCUUCUGCACAAUGAAAUCUGCAGGAAUUCAACUUAAAAUCCCCCUGGAUUGUCACCAGUCCAAGUUCCAUGGACUGGGCUCUGUGGCCAGGAGUGUCCAAUCCUGCUGGAAAUGCGCCGGACCAGGAUGUCAUUUUCACUUUAUACAGGAGCUUUUCCCUUGCCUAGAGGUGCAGCCAGUGCUUUCCUUAGACCACAGAUCCCCAGGAUGGACCACAGAGAAAAUAACAGGACUGUGGAAAUGCCCCACACUGGGAGUUCGUGGUGCUCUGGAUUACAUUUUGCAUUUACAAUGUUAAAGGGGGGGCAUGCAGGGGGGGUUUUCUCACUCUUGUCUUCAUUGUUCUCACUGUUCUUGUUGUUCUUACUGUUAUUACGUGUUAUCAUUAAUAUUAAAUGAUUGUAUUUGACUGGUUUCCAUUAUUAAAAGUGUUCUGAGCUGGAU